GCGACCCCAGGUCAGGCGGGACUACCCGCUGAAUUUAAGCAUAUAAAUAAGCGGGAGGAGAAGAAACUUACAAGGAUUCCCCUAGUAACGGCGAGCGAACCGGGA
rnacentral:rRNA from 1 species